ACCGUGAGAUCAUGACCUGAGCUGAAACCAAGAGUCAGAUGUUCAACUGACGGAACCAUCCAGGCGCCCAGGAGCUGUCACACUAAAAUGAAGCUAGCUUUUGAAAUGUGAUGUGAGAUAUGCAAAUGCUCCAAUGAUAAGUCUAAGAUAAUAAUUACAACCAAGAAUCAUGGAACACACAUUUACUACUUGUCAUGUUCAUUGUAAGUAAUAUUGCCAAUUCUUAUUACAAGCCAUAGGAGAGGUAACAUCCCCUUUUUAAUGACGAGAAAACUGAAGGUUGAGGUGGUGAAAUGCCUGGUUCCAAGCCAUACAGUUAACAGAUGCCUAAAUCAGAAUUUUAAUUUUCUGUGAUUUUAGCCAAAGAACUCAGUCUCUUUCUAUUAGAUCCUACUUCUUUCUGCAAAACAGCGUUUCACAAAGUACACAGUAGAUACCAUCCUUAGAGAAUUCCUGUGGCAUCCAUUUGGCUAAAGUUGCUGAGAACCCUAAUUAUUUUUUUGAAUGAUUAAAGCAUUUUACAUGUUUCGAGACAUUUUUUUAAUCAGAUUUAGUGCUCCUCGGUUGAAAAUGUGUUAUUUUCAUUAGUGCCCUGAGAUUCUUUCCGCAUCCAACUCUUUCCUGUUUGCUACUUUGGUCUCAUUUCUAUCACCUUUCAAAGAGCUGCCCGGCUGAGACUUAUUAUCAUUAUUAUUUUUUUUUAGGUUGCUUUCAUUGCUAUGAAUCAACUCCAAGGAAAGGUUAUGGAUUUUCAGAGAUGUGCAGGACGUGUGGAGAUUUAUUUGUAUGAUUCUUACUUAUUGACAGGAGAAUGUAUUCCCAGGGUUUAUCAACGUGUUCUGUUAGUUUGACAUUUAGUUGAAAGUAUUUGCUACUCUGAUUCUCGAGGAGCGCAAUCUCUUUCCUACAUUCCUCUCUCAGAUAUAACCGGAGAAGACCACCUACCUGCUACAUCUAAACGCAUUCAUCCAACUAGUUCAGCUUGGGUUUGUUUUAUUUUGUUUUUCUCCAGCGAGGAUGCAAAGCUAAACAUCUCAAACCCAUCGGUCAUGUUUGGGGAUCUUAGACAGCAAUUUUUUAAACUGAACAUAACUUUUACUCAAAGACACGACCGGAAGGACUUUGUAGUCCUUUGGAAAUGGUAAGUGUUCUUUAAGCAGUUACAUGGAGAGAGGCCACCAUUUUGCAUUGUGCAAGGUAAGUCAAUGCAGAUAUAAACCGUACAUGAUACUCGUCUUGGUACGUUCAUUCUGUUUGCUGAUCCUAGGCCUGCUCAUCCUGAGAUAUAGUCCUCUUUUCUCCCCUAUCCCCUAUGCCCCUUUGGCUAUGUGUGGCCUGUAGUAGACCCAGGCAGGACCCUGUGGGAGGUGAGGAGAGGGAAAAGCCAUGUAUUUCUCCCCCCCUUCUUCUUUGCCUCAGGCAUGUCCACGGGCAUUGGCUUGAAGCCUGUCACCAGCUCCUGCGGGAGAUAUCUGCCAUGACUCCCGCUUCUACCCAGUGGCCUGGUCCCUGGCCUCAGGGACCACCAUUUUCUCUGUCUCUCCAGCCUAUGAGUGAGAGUGGCUUCCUGCUGUUGAAAUCUCUUGGGUUACCUCACUGUCUCUUGUUUGGUUUUUCAAGCUCCUCCAUCACCUGUAUGACCAAUUCCCUGAGAGUAAAUAUUUGAACUGGUUUUGCAUUUCAGAUUAAACCCUGACCUAUCCACCUUUAUGCGUAUAACAUUCAUCAUACCAUUAAUAACAUGUUUAAGGUUCUUUUACUGCCCUGUAAUAGUGACACCCUAGAGUACUGGGAACAGUGCAACAAACCCAACUGUUGUCACAAUUCAUGAUUGAAUAUUUGCUAUUCUGUAUUUUCGAGUGAAUAGAAGGAAAUGUAUUCUGCUGAAAGGAUUUUUUAAUUGCCAUUUUAACCAGGCACUAGCCCUUUCUAUUUCUACUUAAAGGAAUUCUUUUGGAAGAAAAUAACACACCAGGUGUCUUUUAGGUUUUUUGUUUGCUUUUUGAUAGUGUUCAAAGUUACUAAAUCAUCUAGUGAAAGAAUUCUAUUCCAGGUACAUGCCAAAUAACAAUUUUCUAUGCAAAUAUCUUAAAUAUCUAAGCCAGUGCAAAUAUAAACACCCUAUCAAGUGUUCUCAUUACAUCAACUUUAUAAGAUAUGGACUAAUUUAUAAAACCGCUUCACCUACAUUCAAAAAAUUAACUAAUAGUAUAUUUUGUGUUUGUACAAAGUGCAAAAGAGGGUCAAAAUUACUUUUUCCACAUGGCAGUCUGAAUAUAGGAAAGCUAACCCAGAGACCCCCACAGGUUGGCUGAACACUACUUUAUUCAGCCAGGAGUGCUGCUGGGGGGAGAAACCAGUCCUAGCUCUGGUCCCACAGUGACACAGACGAAGCUGUUUUCCUCUAGACCCUGUUUCCUUUUAUUCCUAUUUGCACAACUAAACUAUAUUUAUAGCUUCCAUUGCAGAUCGACGAGGUCAUGUGUCUGAGUUCUGGCCAACAGAAUGUGGAAGAAAGUGGUAUCCUCCCCCUUCAGACUGGUUCUUAGAAACUUCCUGGAAUUGUCUACAUCAAAGCCAUAUGGAAAAACAGCAAACUCCAAUCAUCCCAUGAAUCUCACGCUUUACUAAAAACACAAAUCUGCACACUUGGAACAGAUUGAGACUGAAGUAAAGUAGCACCUAAUACCCCAGAAGUCCAUAAUCAGAUACUUAGGACCCCAGAGAUACGGCUCGGGCAGAAUUCCACUCAGUGACACUCCAAGAGUUAUCAUCAUGGACCGCGUUGAUUCUGAGGCACUGAGCUCACACAGCAGGGAGGCAGUUAAAGAAUAUCUCUCUGCCUUUUGGCAAAUUGUAUAAAGCGCUUUUACCAGGAGGUUUGGAGACAGCAACAGCAGCAGUGAGCAAGGCGGUUGCAUUUCUGAACGUAAUCUGAAUUAUCAUUACAGUAAAAUAAAAUUUACUAAAUGGGCAUUUAAUGGUAUUGGGGCAAGGCAAAGAAGCAGAGCUUUCAUCAGGAGAAGCUAGGACAGCUGCAGCCCCUCACAAGAAGAUCCCCUGUGAAUUGUUGGCUUUUGUAACUUGUGACCUUGUGCUAUUUAUAAAAGAGUAUUCCUCUAAGAGCCAAGAUGUAAGGCAUAAAACACCAUUGAAGUAUCAUAGACUUUGGAGAGAGUGUAAUGAACCUCUGAAAUUAGAAAAUGAUACCAAUUCUGAUGGAUGAGACGGAAGUUUUCCCAAAAAAUUAACCUCAGCCUUCCCUUCAAUGUACAUACUGGGCAUUAAUUCUGGGAAUUUAUCUUUGGAAUGCAAUUUUUUUCCUCCUCGUAUUGACUGAGUGCCAGAAGUGUCUGAGAUGGAUCAUGUUGACAUAUUCAAAGAAAAAAAUGAUAACUCCUAUAUAAUUGCACCUGCAUUUUUUCCAAAGUUGUUUUUUUUUUUUUUUAAUGUUUACUUAUUUGAGAGAGAGGCCGGAGGGGUAGAGAG